rnacentral:misc_RNA from 1 species
GAUGAAGAACGUAGCGAAAUGCGAUAAGUAAUGUGAAUUGCAGAAUUCAGUGAAUCAUCGAAUCUUUGAACGCACAUUGCGCCCGCCAGUAUUCUGGCGGGCAUGCCUGUUCGAGCGUCAUUUCAACCAUCAAGCCCCCGGCUUGUGUUGGGGACCUGCGGCUGCCGCAGGCCCUGAAAUGCAGUGGCGGGCUCGCUGUCACUCCGAGCGUAGUAGUUACAUCUCGCUCUGGGCGUGCUGCGGGUUCCGGCCGUUAAAAGCCUUAUUUACCCAAGGUUGACCUCGGAUCAGGUAGGAAGACCCGCUGAACUUAAGCAUACAAUAAGCGGAGGA